UACGUAGGGGGCUAGCGUUGUCCGGAAUCAUUGGGCGUAAAGAGCUCGUAGGCGGCCACUCAAGUCGAAUGUGAAACCUCGAGGCUCAACCUCGAGCCUGCAUUCGAUACUGGGCGGCUAGAGUCUGGUAGGGGGAUCUGGAAUUCCUGGUGUAGCGGUGGAAUGCGCAGAUAUCAGGAGGAACACCGGUGGCGAAGGCGGGAUCCUGGGCCAGUACUGACGCUGAGGAGCGAAAGCGUGGGGAGCAAACAGG
rnacentral:rRNA from 1 species